rnacentral:rRNA from 1 species
CAGUAGCCACGGUAAUACGUAGGGUGCAAGCGUUAAUCGGAAUUACUGGGCGUAAAGCGUGCGCAGGCGGUUAUAUAAGACAGAUGUGAAAUCCCCGGGCUCAACCUGGGAACUGCAUUUGUGACUGUAUAGCUAGAGUACGGCAGAGGGGGAUGGAAUUCCGCGUGUAGCAGUGAAAUGCGUAGAUAUGCGGAGGAACACCGAUGGCGAAGGCAAUCCCCUGGGCCUGUACUGACGCUCAUGCACGAAAGCGUGGGGAGCAAACAGGAUUAGACCCCUGUAGUCCCUGUCUCUUAUACAC